rnacentral:rRNA from 1 species
AUUGAACGCUGGCGGCAGGCCUAACACAUGCAAGUCGAACGAGUGGCGGACGGGAGAGUAAUGUCUGGGAAACUGCCUGAUGGAGGGGGAUAACUACUGGAAACGGUAGCUAAUACCGCAUACCAUCGGAUGUGCCCAGAGGGGAUUAGCUAGUAGGUGGGGUAAAGGCUCACCUAGGCGACGAUCCCUAGCUGGUCGGAGAGCAUGACCAGCCACACUGGAAUUGAGCCAUGGUCCAGACUCCUACGGGAGGCAGCAGUGGGGAAUAUUGCACAAUGGGCGCAAGCCUGAUGCAGCCAUGCCGCGUGUAUGAAGAAGGCGUUCGGGUUGGAAAGUACUUUCAGCGGAGAGGCGUUACCCGCAGAAGAAGCACCGGCUAACUCCGUGCCAGCAGCCGCGGUAAUUC